GCAAAGUCACAGCUGCAUCCAAGCCUCACAUCACCAAGUUCAACCCAAACAUUUGACUGCAGUGAUGUGAACCAAGAUGGAUGCCAGAGUUUAGAGACAUUUUAGAGAUGUUGCCCGUCUUAUUUCAGCUUGACAGCACACAAAAGUAAGUUUGUUUUUUUAUUUUGCAGCUGUUCCUGGACCUGAAUUUACCGUGAAUCCAGCAGUGAUCACAGAAACGGACACAGUCACACUGACCUGCGCGGCUCCUUCAUCUUUUUCUGUCUCUAUGUGUUAUUUAUUCAUUCUGUUUGAGUCAAAAGGACUUGAGAGAAACAUUUCCUGUCAUCAGACGCUAAGAGGAGCUGAACUGCUACAAAUGAUAAACAUGGAAAGUCGAAGGCUUCCUGCUAAUCUUAAAGUGAACUGUCGGUACAGAGCUGAACCCGGACAGGUGCUUUCUGAAUAUGGGAAUCCAUCAUCCAUCCUCAUUCAAGAUGAAGCAGAGAAGAAAAAUGAUUUAACAACGUUCAUUCCCAGCCAAACUUCAACUGGACCCACAAGCAGAACUUCAACUGGACCCACAAGCAGAACUUCAACUGGACCCACAAGCAGAACAGAAUCAAACAAUAAUCCGACUGACGGCUUUACUGUAGAUAAAGUCUCAUCUG